rnacentral:rRNA from 1 species
CGAUGGGAGCUUGCUCCCAGGCGUCGAGCGGCGGACGGGUGAGUAACGCGUAGGAAUCUACCCAGUAGUGGGGGAUAGCCCGGGGAAACUCGGAUUAAUACCGCAUACGCCCUACGGGGGAAAGACCGGGAUCUUCGGACCGGUCGCUAUUGGAUGAGCCUGCGUAAGAUUAGCUAGUUGGUGGGGUAAAGGCCUACCAAGGCGACGAUCUUUAGCUGGUCUGGGAGGAUGAUCAGCCACACUGGAACUGAGACACGGUCCAGACUCCUACGGGAGGCAGCAGUGGGGAAUAUUGGACAAUGGGCGCAAGCCUGAUCCAGCCAUGCCGCGUGUGUGAAGAAGGCUCUAGGGUUGUAAAGCACUUUCAGUAGGGAGGAAGGCCAGAGGCUUAAUAAGUCUUUGGAUUGACGUUACCUACAGAAGCAGCACCGGCUAACUCCGUGCCAGCAGCCGCGGUAAU